UGUCAGAUCUAAUGCUUUGAGGAAAGGCUAAUACAACAACUGGGUGUCUAAGUGACAACCACAAUCAGCAUCUUUUCCUCCCCAGAACUGCUCAGCGUGCACUCCGUGGAACUGUCAAUCAAGCCUCUUUUUCACAGGAGUGGGCACAAACUCUGGGCUGGCUCAUCAGAGCACCCAAAUUCACUGGGUACAAAAGAAUUUGGUGCAGAACUGAAGUCCCUGUUACCUUCUUUCAGCUUCAAUGAGUUCUCCAGGUAGUCAUCUGCUGUGAUGUGUCUCCCAUCUGCUUCCAAGGAAAGGUAGAAAUCUCUCAGAGUCCACACUAAGUCUGGACAGAAGCUCACAGCAUCAGCUGCAUCUUCAACUCCAUCAAGAUCAGGUUCAUAAACACAGCUGAUGGAUAGAAGAAUUUUCUCUGGCUUUGGUGCCAUUCUGGAUCAUAAAAGGAUACUGCAACAGAUCAAGAGCCCUCUGG